rnacentral:tRNA from 1 species
GCCCCCGUAGCUCAAUCGGACAGAGUGUUGGACUUCGAAUCCAAAGGUUGCGAGUUCGAGCCUCGCCGGGGGCG